GCGGGUAUAGCUCAGUUGGGAGAGCGUCAGACUGAAGCCCACUUCAGUUCACCUACUAUUGGAAUCUGAAGGUCAUGUGUUCAAUCCACAUUAGCCGCA
rnacentral:tRNA from 1 species